UCUGAGAUAGUGAAAGCUAAGCCUUAGGCUGUUUUCCCAUAGCCACAAGGGUGACUUCCCUGGUCACCAAGGCAGUGCAUGCGUGUUGGGGUUACCUUUACCUUUUCUAUAAGUUGUACCAAAACAUCUACUUAACUUUUUUCAUUUGUACCAUUCCUUCAAAUAAAGUAAUUUGGUACCC